AUUGAACGCUGGCGGCAUGCCUUACACAUGCAAGUCGAACGGUAACAGGUCUUCGGAUGCUGACGAGUGGCGAACGGGUGAGUAAUACAUCGGAACGUGCCUAGUAGUGGGGGAUAACUACCCGAAAGAGUGGCUAAUACCGCAUGAGAUCUACGGAUGAAAGCAGGGGAUCGCAAGACCUUGUGCUAUUAGAGCGGCCGAUGGCAGAUUAGGUAGUUGGUGGGAUAAAAGCUUACGAAGCCGACGAUCUGUAGCUGGUCUGAGAGGACGAUCAGCCACACUGGGACUGAGACACGGCCCAGACUCCUACGGGAGGCAGCAGUGGGGAAUUUUGGACAAUGGGCGCAAGCCUGAUCCAGAAAUGCCGCGUGCAGGAUGAAGGCCUUCGGGUUGUAAACUGCUUUUGUACGGAACGAAAAGCCCUGGGUUAAUACCCUGGGGUCAUGACGGUACCGUAAGAAUAAGCACCGGCUAACUACGUGCCAGCCGCCGCAGUAACAC
rnacentral:rRNA from 1 species